rnacentral:rRNA from 1 species
AGUCGAACGGCAGCACGGAGAGCUUGCUCUCUGGUGGCGAGUGGCGAACGGGUGAGUAAUGCAUCGGAACGUACCGAGUAAUGGGGGAUAACUGUCCGAAAGGAUGGCUAAUACCGCAUACGCCCUGAGGGGGAAAGCGGGGGAUCUUAGUGACCUCGCGUUAUUUGAGCGGCCGAUGUUGGAUUAGCUAGUUGGUGGGGUAAAGGCCUACCAAGGCGACGAUCCAUAGCGGGUCUGAGAGGAUGAUCCGCCACAUUGGGACUGAGACACGGCCCAAACUCCUACGGGAGGCAGCAGUGGGGAAUUUUGGACAAUGGGGGGAACCCUGAUCCAGCCAUGCCGCGUGUCUGAAGAAGGCCUUCGGGUUGUAAAGGACUUUUGUUAGGGAAGAAAAGCCGGGUGCUAAUACCACCUGGUGCUGACGGUACCUAAAGAAUAAGCACCGGCUAACUACGUGCCAGCAGCCGCGGUAAUACGUAGGGUGCGAGCGUUAAUCGGAAUUACUGGGCGUAAAGCGAGCGCAGACGGUUAAUCAAGUCAGAUGUGAAAUCCCCGAGCUCAACUUGGGACGUGCAUUUGAAACUGGUUAACUAGAGUGUGUCAGAGGGAGGUAGAAUUCCACGUGUAGCAGUGAAAUGCGUAGAGAUGUGGAGGAAUACCGAUGGCGAAGGCAGCCUCCUGGGAUAACACUGACGUUCGUGCUCGAAAGCGUGGGUAGCAAACAGGAUUAGAUACCCUGGUAGUCCACGCCCUAAACGAUGACAAUUAGCUGUUGGGACACUAGAUGUUUUAGUAGCGAAGCUAACGCGUGAAAUUGUCCGCCUGGGGAGUACGGUCGCAAGAUUAAAACUCAAAGGAAUUGAC